rnacentral:rRNA from 1 species
GGUUAAGCGACUAAGCGUACACGGUGGAUGCCCUGGCAGUCAGAGGCGAUGAAGGGCGUGCUAAUCUGCGAUAAGCGCCGGUAAGGUGAUAUGAACCGUUAUAACCGGCGAUACCCGAAUGGGGAAACCCAGUGUGACUCGUCACACUAUCAUUAACUGAAUCCAUAGGUUAAUGAGGCGAACCGGGGGAACUGAAACAUCUAAGUACCCCGAGGAAAAGAAAUCAACCGAGAUUCCCCCAGUAGCGGCGAGCGAACGGGGAGGAGCCCAGAGCCUGAAUCAGCAUGUGUGUUAGUGGAAGCGUCUGGAAAGGCGCGCGAUACAGGGUGACAGCCCCGUACACAAAAGCGCAUGUGCUGUGAGCUCGAUGAGUAGGGCGGGACACGUGGUAUCCUGUCUGAAUAUGGGGGGACCAUCCUCCAAGGCUAAAUACUCCUGACUGACCGAUAGUGAACCAGUACCGUGAGGGAAAGGCGAAAAGAACCCCGGCGAGGGGAGUGAAAAAGAACCUGAAACCGUGUACGUACAAGCAGUGGGAGCCCCACCACCAAAGCAUUCUCUGGUGUUGAAGGCCCUGCAAAGCAGCAUCGCGGUGGCGGAGCGUCGUUUGCGACGCCCAACACACAAAACAAGCGGUGAAUGCUUUGGGGUGGGGUGACUGCGUACCUUUUGUAUAAUGGGUCAGCGACUUAUAUUCUGUAGCAAGGUUAACCGAAUAGGGGAGCCGGAGGGAAACCGAGUCUUAAUUGGGCGUUAAGUUGCAGGGUAUAGACCCGAAACCCGGUGAUCUAGCCAUGGGCAGGUUGAAGGUUGGGUAACACUAACUGGAGGACCGAACCGACUAAUGUUGAAAAAUUAGCGGAUGACCUGUGGCUGGGGGUGAAAGGCCAAUCAAACCGGGAGAUAGCUGGUUCUCCCCGAAAGCUAUUUAGGUAGGUAGCGCCUCGUGAAUUCAUCUCCGGGGGUAGAGCACUGUUUCGGCUAGGGGGCCAUCCCGGCUUACCAACCCGAUGCAAACUGCGAAUACCGGAGAAUGUUAUCACGGGAGACACACGGCGGGUGCUAACGUCCGUCGUGAAGAGGGAAACAACCCAGACCGCCAGCUAAGGUCCCAAAGUCAUGGUUAAGUGGGAAACGAUGUGGGAAGGCCCAGACAGCCAGGAUGUUGGCUUAGAAGCAGCCAUCAUUUAAAGAAAGCGUAAUAGCUCACUGGUCGAGUCGGCCUGCGCGGAAGAUGUAACGGGGCUAAACCAUGCACCGAAGCUGCGGCAGCGACGCUGAUGCGUUGUUGGGUAGGGGAGCGUUCUGUAAGCCUGCGAAGGUGACCUGUGAGGGUUGCUGGAGGUAUCAGAAGUGCGAAUGCUGACAUAAGUAACGAUAAAGCGGGUGAAAAGCCCGCUCGCCGGAAGACCAAGGGUUCCUGUCCAACGUUAAUCGGGGCAGGGUGAGUCGACCCUAAGGCGAGGCCGAAAGGCGUAGUCGAUGGGAAACGGGUUAAUAUUCCCGUACUUGGUGUUACUGCGAAGGGGGGACGGAGAAGGCUAUGUUGGCCGGGCGACGGUUGUCCCGGUUUAAGCGUGUAGGUGUGUGUUCCAGGUAAAUCCGGUUCACUUUAACACUGAGGCGUGAUGACGAGGCACUACGGUGCUGAAGCAACAAAUGCCCUGCUUCCAGGAAAAGCCUCUAAGCAUCAGGUAACAUCAAAUCGUACCCCAAACCGACACAGGUGGUCAGGUAGAGAAUACCAAGGCGCUUGAGAGAACUCGGGUGAAGGAACUAGGCAAAAUGGUGCCGUAACUUCGGGAGAAGGCACGCUGACACGUAGGUGAAGUGAUUUACUCACGGAGCUGAAGUCAGUCGAAGAUACCAGCUGGCUGCAACUGUUUAUUAAAAACACAGCACUGUGCAAACACGAAAGUGGACGUAUACGGUGUGACGCCUGCCCGGUGCCGGAAGGUUAAUUGAUGGGGUCAGCGCAAGCGAAGCUCCUGAUCGAAGCCCCGGUAAACGGCGGCCGUAACUAUAACGGUCCUAAGGUAGCGAAAUUCCUUGUCGGGUAAGUUCCGACCUGCACGAAUGGCGUAAUGAUGGCCAGGCUGUCUCCACCCGAGACUCAGUGAAAUUGAACUCGCUGUGAAGAUGCAGUGUACCCGCGGCAAGACGGAAAGACCCCGUGAACCUUUACUAUAGCUUGACACUGAACAUUGAGCCUUGAUGUGUAGGAUAGGUGGGAGGCUUUGAAGUGUGGACGCCAGUCUGCAUGGAGCCGACCUUGAAAUACCACCCUUUAAUGUUUGAUGUUCUAACGUGGACCCGUAAUCCGGGUUGCGGACAGUGUCUGGUGGGUAGUUUGACUGGGGCGGUCUCCUCCUAAAGAGUAACGGAGGAGCACGAAGGUUGGCUAAUCCUGGUCGGACAUCAGGAGGUUAGUGCAAUGGCAUAAGCCAGCUUGACUGCGAGCGUGACGGCGCGAGCAGGUGCGAAAGCAGGUCAUAGUGAUCCGGUGGUUCUGAAUGGAAGGGCCAUCGCUCAACGGAUAAAAGGUACUCCGGGGAUAACAGGCUGAUACCGCCCAAGAGUUCAUAUCGACGGCGGUGUUUGGCACCUCGAUGUCGGCUCAUCACAUCCUGGGGCUGAAGUAGGUCCCAAGGGUAUGGCUGUUCGCCAUUUAAAGUGGUACGCGAGCUGGGUUUAGAACGUCGUGAGACAGUUCGGUCCCUAUCUGCCGUGGGCGCUGGAGAACUGAGGGGGCUGCUCCUAGUACGAGAGGACCGGAGUGGACGCAUCACUGGUGUUCGGGUUGUCAUGCCAAUGGCACUGCCCGGUAGCUAAAUGCGGAAGAGAUAAGUGCUGAAAGCAUCUAAGCACGAAACUUGCCCCGAGAUGAGUUCUCCCUGAGACUUUAGGUCUCCUGAAGGAACGUUGAAGACGACGACGUUGAUAGGCCGGGUGUGUAAGCGCAGCGAUGCGUUGAGCUAACCGGUACUAAUGAACCGUGAGGCUUAACCUU